rnacentral:rRNA from 1 species
CUACGGGAGGCAGCAGUGAGGAAUUUUGCGCAAUGGGGGAAACCCUGACGCAGCAACGCCGCGUGAGUGAUGAAGGCUCUCGGGUCGUAAACCUCUGUCAAGUGGGAAGAACUCACAUGGUGAUAAUACCACUAUGUGUUGACGGUACCACUGAAGGAAGCACCGGCUAACUCCGUGCCAGCAGCCGCGGUAAU